GCUUUCUGCACAACAAGGAAAGAAAACACAAUUGGUUAUCUUGAUGAUUCUUCAGAGGUUAAUCGAUCGAGAGGAAAUUGAUUGAUUGAUUGAUUGUUUUGUUCGUUGUUGUUUAAUUACCUUGUGACGUGUGCGAAGAACCAGUCCUUGGAGAUGUCGCUCUCGCCGAUCGUGAAGACGAGAUCGCCGUCAGGGUAUUUGGGGUUGGGAUCAGGGAUGAAGAACUCUGCUGCACUCCUGUCAGGAACACCCAUCUCCCACAGUGUCGGGCCUGAUCUUGGAGGCUCGAACACAAGAUCACCGAGGUUGAUGCCACGUCCUGCUUAAAUUCAGACAAACAAUGUCCCCAAGAAACCCAGGAACCCAUGCGUAGAGGUUGUACACUCCUGCUCUCACAUUACUGAUGCUGAAGCUGCCGCAGGGCGUUGCCCUCGUCCAGAAUUGGUAGUUUUUGCUCUCUGUCACCCAAGAACCGGGUUGUCCAGG